UACGGGGGGGGCAAGCGUUGUUCGGAAUUACUGGGCGUAAAGCGUGCGUAGACGGUUAUGUAAGUCGGGUGUGAAAGCCCCGGGCUCAACCUGGGAAUGCCAUUCGAGACUGCAUAGCUAGGGUGCGGAAGAGGGAAGCGGAAUUUCAGGUGUAGCGGUGAAAUGCGUAGAUAUCUGAAGGACCACCAGUGGCGAAAGCGGCUUCCUGGUCCAGCACAGACGUUCAGGCACGAAAGCGUGGGGAGCAAACAGG
rnacentral:rRNA from 1 species